rnacentral:rRNA from 1 species
AACGAACGCUGGCGGCAUGCCUAACACAUGCAAGUCGAACGAAGCCUUCGGGCUUAGUGGCGCACGGGUGCGUAACGCGUGGGUAUCUGCCCUUGGGUUCGGAAUAACAGUUAGAAAUGACUGCUAAUACCGAAUGAUGUCUUCGGACCAAAGAUUUAUCGCCCAAGGAUGAGCCCGCGUCGGAUUAGCUAGUUGGUGAGGUAAAGGCUCACCAAGGCGACGAUCCGUAGCUGGUCUGAGAGGAUGAUCAGCCACACUGGGACUGAGACACGGCCCAGACUCCUACGGGAGGCAGCAGUGGGGAAUAUUGGACAAUGGGGGGCAACCCUGAUCCAGCAAUGCCGCGUGAGUGAUGAAGGCCUCGGUUGUAAGCUCUUUGUCCAGGACGGAUGAUGACGGUACCUGGAGAAUAAGACCCGGCUAACUUCGUGCCAGCAGCCGC